rnacentral:rRNA from 1 species
AUUGAACGCUGGCGGCAGGCCUAACACAUGCAAGUCGAGCGGAUGACGGGAGCUUGCUCCUUGAUUCAGCGGCGGACGGGUGAGUAAUGCCUAGGAAUCUGCCUGGUAGUGGGGGACAACGUUUCGAAGGGAACGCUGAUACCGCAUACGUCCUACGGGAGAAAGCAGGGGACCUUCGGGCCUUGCGCUAUCAGAUGAGCCUAGGUCGGAUUAGCUAGUUGGUGGGGUAAUGGCUCACCAAGGCGACGAUCCGUAACUGGUCUGAGAGGAUGAUCAGUCACACUGGAACUGAGACACGGUCCAGACUCCUACGGGAGGCAGCAGUGGGGAAUAUUGGACAAUGGGCGAAAGCCUGAUCCAGCCAUGCCGCGUGCGUGAAGAAGGUCUUCGGAUUGUAAAGCACUUUAAGUUGGGAGGAAGGGCAGUAAGCUAAUACCUUGCUGUUUUGACGUUACCGACAGAAUAAGCACCGGCUAACUCUGUGCCAGCAGCCGCCGUAAUAC